ACUCCUACGGGAGGCAGCAGUGGGGAAUAUUGCACAAUGGGGGAAACCCUGAUGCAGCCAUGCCGCGUGUGUGAAGAAGGCCUUCGGGUUGUAAAGCACUUUCAGUAGGGAGGAAGGUAGUGUAGUUAACACCUGCAUUAUUUGUACGUUACCUACAGAAGAAGCACCGGCUAACUCCGUGCCAGCAGCCGCGGUAAGUACGGAGGGUGCGAGCGUUAAUCGGAAUUACGUGGGCGUAAAGCGCAUGCAGGCGGCUUGUUAAGUCAGAUGUGAAAGCCCGGGGUCUUAACCUCGGAAUUGCAUUUGAAACUGGCAGGCUAGAGUCUUGUAGAGGGGUUAGAAUUUCGAGGUGUAGCGGUGAAAUGCGUAGAGAUCUGAAGGAAUACCG
rnacentral:rRNA from 1 species